AUGGUGGCACCGUUGGAUUUCAUAAUCGAGGCCUGGUACUUCGCUCAAAAGCAUGGGGUUACUUUUGUUGAAGACGUAUGCCCAGGAUAUCUAGCUCAGAGUUUUGUACAGGUUAUCUCUAGUAAGUUAUUUGCUCAUAUACCUUAUGAUCUGCUGUACUCCACCAUUGAGUCCCCACACCUGACGGUGGACAGUGAAAAGCAAUUGUGUGAAGCAAUUUUAUCUUGGGUUUCUGCAAGUAGACAAUCCUGUGAGCAAUCAGUCUCCAACCCAGCAGAUAACCAACUCUCCCUUCUUAGCAAGGUUAGGGUAUGCCUUUUACCUUUAGGAUUUGCAGCAGGUACAAAGAGAAACUGCUUUGAAUUUGGGAACAAUGCUGUAUGUAUGAUUCUUAAUCUGCUUAAGGACAGUUUGCAAACUCUACUGUAUACAGUUACCGAUGACAACUUGGAUAGUUACCGUAUUCGAUUAACAGAAUACUCCAAGAAAAUAGUACUUUCGGGAUGUCCCCAGUUAACUACGCAAUUCCUAUACAUAUCAGCGCUCCCCACUGAUCUAGAUGCUGUAUUUAAGAGAACUAUAGUGAGUGAUGUUAACGAUGGCUGUUUGAACCAUUACAAUGGGCUGGUGAAGAAGGCUAAAACCUUGUCAUUUAGAAAUGUACGCAUUGUGGAUCUCUCCAAAUGUCCAAAUGUACAUUUUGGUGCAGCAAUUUUAUGGAUGAAGUGGGCAUUUCCAGAAUUGAGGACGUUCAUAGCUUCCUAUUGUUUACUCUUUCAGUUUGAAGAUUUGCAGUAUUUGUUACUGAGAUGUCCAUGGAUUAAUGAAAUUAAUUUGAGUAUCGAUACAAGCGUUAUACUAUCCAAGUACUCGAUUAUAUCUUCUAGAUCUGAAGUACGGCGUGACGUGAAUCGAAAUCUAUCUAGCUAUUACAUGCAAAGUGGAUCAUAUGGGACCUCAGUAAACCCAGUUUUCUCAAAUAUAUCAAAAUUGAUACUGGAAGGCCGAAAUGAUAUUACUGAUAUGAACUUGCUGGAGAUAUCCAUGCUGAGAAGUUCUCUAUGUUAUAUAAACAUUAAACAUUGCACCCUGUUGACAGACGAUGGUAUAUCUACACUACUGUUGAACUGUAGAAAAAUGCACUCGAUGGUUCUUUCUUAUACAUCGUUUGGAAAUCAUUCAAUUCAAACCCUAUGCUCGUCGGAUCCUUCAGACAGCUUUCCUUACCAUAAGGAUGAACAUGCUCAUGUUAUGGCAUCUAGGUUGCAAGAAUUGCAUCUGGAAGGCUGUGAAGGUAUUAGUUGUGCUGCUAUGUCCCAGCUAGUGAGUAAUAUGAAUAUUGUGAAGUCCUUAUGCUUAAGGGAGACACCACUUGCAGAUGGUGCUCUCUGCAACUUUGUUGGCUCUUCACUUGAGUAUCUUGAUAUUUCGGAGACUGUGGUUUCUAUGGUCUCAUUGGCACCAGUUAUACGAAGAAACUCCAAUUUGAGCUGCUUGAAAACAGCUGGAUGCCGUAACCUGCUGUUUGAACAGGGUGAGGUACAAUCCACGAGUGGUACCAAGUAUGGCAGGUUUCUUCAGGAGAUAACCAGUACGUGCUAUUUGGAGGAUGUAGAAAUGGGCUGGGCAUUUUGCCCUGUUCGAGUUGAUGACCUCAUUCCUUCUUUUAGUAAAGUAAGGAGGAUGACAGUUGGCCUUGGCACAACAUUACCGGAGAAUAUCCUGCAUGCUCUUCCUGAGAUCUGCCCGUUUCUCGAGUCUUUGGUUCUUAGGUUUCAGGUAAUCUCUGACAGAGUUGUAAGAAAUCUAUUGGAAUCGUCAACAAAUCUUCAGGUGCUCUGCCUGCAGUAUUGCCUCGGCAGUUUGACUUCGUUUAGCUUUCAAACAAUGGCACCAGCAUUAAGAAUAUUACGGCUCCAGUGGUUUACUCCAUGGAUCACAAAUGAUGAUCUGACAAUUCUUACACAGAAUUGCAAUUUAGUUGAACUUUGGCUGUCUGGUUGCAAACUCCUUGACUCCAGCUCUCAAGAGAUAAUCUCUUCUGGGUGGCCAAACUUGGCAUGUUUACAACUUGAGGAAUGUGGUCAGAUAACACUUGAUGGGGUUAAUUCUAUUUUAGAUUGUAAAGCGUUGGAAGAAGUCUUACUUAGGCACACCGGUAGAGGUAUUGGAAGAACCAUUAUAACAGAUGCUAUCAGAGAGCUACCACUCCUAAGGAAGCUGGCGUUGGAUCUCUGCGACGCGUCCGAGGGAGGCUACGACACCCCGAACGUUCCGGAGGGGAAGUUGAUGAGGAGCGUGAGGAUGAGCAGGUGCAAGAAGUCGGCGGCGGCGGGGAGGUCGUGUUUCGGAGAGGCGCCCCCCUCGAGCUCGAACCCAAAGCCGGUGCAGCACAGGGAGACCGUCGUGCUGGAGUGGAGCAGCCGGCAGCUGACGACCACCGUAGUGGAAGAGAGACUCUAG
rnacentral:rRNA from 1 species